rnacentral:rRNA from 1 species
CCUACGGGAGGCAGCAGUGGGGAAUAUUGCACAAUGGGGGAAACCCUGAUGCAGCGACGCCGCGUGAGUGAAGAAGUAAUUCGUUACGUAAAGCUCUAUCAGCAGGGAAGAAAUACUGACCUUACGGUCAGCAGACGGUACCUGAGUAAGAAGCCCCGGCUAACUACGUGCCAGCAGCCGCGGUAAUACGUAGGGGGCAAGCGUUAUCCGGAUUUACUGGGUGUAAAGGGAGCGUAGACGGCUGAGCAAGUCUGAAGUGAAAGGCGGGGGCCCAACCCCCGGACUGCUUUGGAAACUGUAUAGCUAGAGUGCAGGAGAGGUAAGUGGAAUUCCUAGUGUAGCGGUGAAAUGCGUAGAUAUUAGGAGGAACACCAGUGGCGAAGGCGGCUUACUGGACUGUAACUGACGUUGAGGCUCGAAAGCGUGGGGAGCAAACAGGAUUAGAUACCCCGGUAGUC